rnacentral:rRNA from 1 species
UACAGAGGUCUCAAGCGUUGUUCGGAUUCAUUGGGCGUAAAGGGUGCGUAGGCGGCGCGGUAAGUCGGGUGUGAAAUCUUGGAGCUUAACUCAGAACGGCCAAGUGAAACUGUUGUGCUAGAGUGCAGAAGGGGCAAUCGGAAUUCUCGGUGUAGCGGUGAAAUGCGUAGAUAUCGAGAGGAACACCAGAGGUGAAGACGGGUUGCUGGGCUGACACUGACGCUGAGGCGCGAAAGCCAGGGGAGCAAACGGG